rnacentral:rRNA from 1 species
UACGGAGGAUGCGAGCGUUAUCCGGAUUUAUUGGGUUUAAAGGGUGCGUAGGUUGUUUUUUAAGUCAGCGGUGAAAGUUUGUGGCUCAACCAUAAAAUUGCCGUUGAAACUGAUAGACUUGAGUGCAGUAGAGGAAAGUGGAAUUCCUAGUGUAGCGGUGGAAUGCGUAGAUAUUAGGAGGAACACCAGUGGCGAAGGCGGCUUGCUGGACUGUAAAUGACGCUGAGGCUCGAAAGCGUGGGGAGCAAACAGG